rnacentral:lncRNA from 1 species
AUGAAAACCAGCUUCUAAUCCACGUGUCACCUUUACAUUGACACAGUUCUUCUCCUCCCUCCUUCCUUCCUUCUUCAGUUCUCUCUCGAGGACAGAGAGAAGAAGUUACCACUGAUCCCACUAUUUUUAGAGAGAGAAACUAAAACUAUUUUUUAGGGUUUUUAGAGAGAGAAAUUCGUCAGUAGAUGGUUUGUGAAUUUGUGUGAAAAACACAGAGAUGUAUGUGGGAUCAAUGAGAAGAUAUUUCAAGGAUUCUCUCAAAGUUCUUGAAGCGGAUAUUCAACAUGCCAAUACUCUUUUUGAGGUAUAAAAAAACUAAGGGGACUGUUUGGCAACAUCUGAAUGAUUAACUGCACAACCAGUAAGAUGUCUGAACUAAACUAUUAAGUGCUGAACCAGAGGUCUGAACCAUUAUGAGCCUGUAUAAUGCUUAAC